rfam:Oryza barthii chromosome 7, whole genome shotgun sequence.
AAAAAGGCAAACCCUAGAUUUCCGUGCCAACGUUUGACUGUUCGUUUUAUAUGAAUUUUUUUUAUAAUUAGUAUUUUCAUUGUUGUUAGAUGAUAAAACAUGAUUAAUACUUUAUGCGUGACUUAUCUUUUUAAUUUUUUUCAUAAUUUUUUUAAAUAAGACGGACGGUCAAACGUUGGACACGGAAACCAGGGUUUGCUUUUUUU